rnacentral:rRNA from 1 species
UACGGGGGGGGUAAGCGUUGUUCGGAAUUACUGGGCGUAAAGGGCUCGUAGGCGGCCAACUAAGUCAGACGUGAAAUCCCUCAGCUUAACUGGGGAACUGCGUCUGAUACUGGAUGGCUUGGAUUCGGGAGAGGAAUGCGGAAUUCCAGGUGUAGCGGUGAAAUGCGUAGAUAUCUGGAGGAACACCGGUGGCGAAGGCGGGUCUCUGGGCCGAUAUCGACGCUGAGGAGCGAAAGCGUGGGGAGCGAACAGG